UACGUAGGGUGCGAGCGUUAAUCGGAAUUACUGGGCGUAAAGCGUGCGCAGGCGGUUUUUUAAGCCAGAUGUGAAAUCCCCGGGCUUAACCUGGGAAUGGCAUUUGGGACUGCAAGGCUGGAGUGUGGCAGAGGAGACUGGAAUUCCUGGUGUAGCAGUGAAAUGCGUAGAGAUCGGGAGGAACAUCAGUUGCGAAGGCGGCUCUCUGGACCAGCACUGACACUGAGGCACGAAAGCGUGGGGAGCAAACAGG
rnacentral:rRNA from 1 species